rnacentral:misc_RNA from 1 species
AUAACUACAAAGGCUUCUUACGAAUGACUGGCUUUUGCAAAAUAAAGAUACCAGCUGAGGUUACUGCUGCAUUGGAGCCUAUUAAGGACAAUGAGGAAGCAGUCAGAGCCUAUGGAAUUCACCUGGGAACAGAAAUGUGCAAGAAGAUUUUAGCUUAUGGCAUUAAGACAUUGCAUCUUUACACUCUAAACAUGGAGAAAUCAGCACUGGCUAUAUUAAUGA